rnacentral:misc_RNA from 1 species
AACGCACAUUGCGCCCACCAGCAUUCUGAUGGGCAUGCCUGUUCGAGCGUCAUUUCAACCCUCAGGCACCGCCUGGUGUUGGGCCCCGUGGGAGACCACAGGCCCGAAAGACAGUGGCGGGCUCUGCACGACCCCUAGCGUAGUACAUCUCCUCGCUCAGGGCGUCUGCGGCGGACCAGCCGUCAAAACGCGCUGUUACCAGCACUACAAAGUUGACCUCGGAUCAGGUAGGAAUACCCGCUGAACUUAA